AUACGGAGGGUGCAAGCGUUAUUCGGAAUCACUGGGCGUAAAGGACGCGUAGGCGGGUUGGCAAGUCAGAUGUGAAAUCCUACAGCUUAACUGUGGAACUGCAUUUGAAACUGCUAACCUAGAGUAUGGGAGGGGGAGAUGGAAUUAGUGGUGUAGGGGUAAAAUCCGUAGAUAUCACUAGGAAUACCGAAAGCGAAGGCGAUCUCCUGGAACAUAACUGACGCUAAGGCGUGAAAGCGUGGGGAGCAAACAGGAUUAGAAACCCUAGUAGUCC
rnacentral:rRNA from 1 species